rnacentral:rRNA from 1 species
UACGUAGGGUGCAAGCGUUAAUCGGAAUUACUGGGCGUAAAGCGUGCGCAGGCGGUUCGGAAAGAAAGAUGUGAAAUCCCAGAGCUUAACUUUGGAACUGCAUUUUUAACUACCGAGCUAGAGUGUGUCAGAGGGAGGUGGGAUUCCGCGUGUAGCAGUGAAAUGCGUAGAUAUGCGGAGGAACACCGAUGGCGAAGGCAGCCUCCUGGGAUAACACUGACGCUCAUGCACGAAAGCGUGGGGGAGCAAACAGGAUUAGAUACCCUGGUAGUCCACGCCCUAAACGAUGUCAACUAGCUGUUGGGGCCUUCGGGCCUUGGUAGCGCAGCUAACGCGUGAGGUUGACCGCCUGGGGAGUACGGUCGCAAGAUUAAAACUCAA